UACGUAGGGCGCAAGCGUUAUCCGGAAUUAUUGGGCGUAAAGAGCUCGUAGGCGGUUUGUCGCGUCUGCCGUGAAAGUCCGGGGCUUAACCCCGGAUCUGCGGUGGGUACGGGCAGACUAGAGUGCAGUAGGGGAGACUGGAAUUCCUGGUGUAGCGGUGAAAUGCGCAGAUAUCAGGAGGAACACCGAUGGCGAAGGCAGAUCUCUGGGCCGUAACUGACGCUGAGGAGCGAAAGCAUGGGGAGCGAACAGG
rnacentral:rRNA from 1 species